rnacentral:rRNA from 1 species
GCCCGCUCAGAAACUCAAGGAAGUUGACGGGGCCCGCACAAGCGGUGGAGCAUGUGGUUUAAUUCGAUGCAACGCGAAGAACCUUACCUGGUCUUGACAUCCCGGAGACCCUUAGGAAACUAGGGGUGCUUCCAUCUGGAAGAAUCUGGAGACAGGUGCUGCAUGGCUGUCGUCAGCUCGUGUCGUGAGAUGUUGGGUUAAGUCCCGCAACGAGCGCAACCCUUGCCUUUAGUUGCCAGCAGUUCGGCUGGGCACUCUAAAGGGACUGCCGGUGUUAAACCGGAGGAAGGUGGGGAUGACGUCAAGUCCUCAUGGCCUUUAUGACCAGGGCUACACACGUACUACAAUGGCCGAUACAAAGGGCAGCGACACUGCGAGGUGAAGCCAAUCCCGUAAAAUCGGUCUCAGUCCGGAUUGGAGUCUGCAACUCGACUCCAUGAAGUUGGAAUCGCUAGUAAUCGUGGAUCAGCAUGCCACGGUGAAUACGUUCCCGGGCCUU